rnacentral:lncRNA from 1 species
GGGGUUUUCUCUUUUGUUUGUUUCCCUUUCUUUUUCCUUUUUUUUUUUUUUUUUUUUUUGUUGGCUUUGCGUUAGGAUGCUCUGAUCUGACAUUUGACAUGAACACAAAGUUGCUAGAUGCUCUUGUUGACUUCCAGCAGAUGGGAUGGGGGAAACACAGCAGUUCUUGGUAAAGUCCUUUGUAAUAAUAGUUUGAUUUUUUUAUUUCGAGAGAAUCUUUCAUUUUCCUAUGUAUGCUUUUUUCCUUUUUUGCCCAGUUUCCUUAUCACUUGCUGUAGAUGGCUUAUUUUGCAUUCAUGCAGACUAUGUUGCAAGUCUGUUUCAUCUAGUAAACUGAAAAUUAUUGCUUAAUCAAACUGCCGUUUGUCUUUUAUAUUUAAGGCCUUCCCCCCCCUUCCUUAUGAGUUCUAACUUAGUAAUUUCAAAUGUGACCUUUUAUAUCUAAGACCAGUAUAGUAAACUUAGCCCACAGUGGCAAAUAAUGAGUAAUAUUGUAAUAUGUUCCAGUUGCACCUCAGUAUGUUAAACAGGUAAUGUAAGAAGUUCUCUGAAAUGUCAGCAAGUAAGUUCUGAAACACAUCAUGCAUGAGUAGGAAUAAAACCCAAGUUCCCCAUAACGUAGAUAACUUAAUGCUGCAUAAAAAUAUGAAAGUGUAACCCAUGAAGGACACUUUUUCUUUCCACUGCAAAGUUAGCCACUUUGCUGUUUUUCCUCUUUUUUAAACUUUGAAAAUAGACUCUUUCCAGAAAUUGGAGCAAUAAUGGUGUUACCACACACAGAUUAAAUAAUUUGUAGAUAUUUUAAGUGACUUUUGGGCAAAACUGGAAUGUAUACUUUUACCUUGUUUCAAACACCUAAGACCAGUAAUUUAAAAAUUACUAAAAGGUUUACUUUGUUCAUUAAUAAAACAUUUAACAAUUCAAAUUAUAUGCACCUUUUACCUAGUUGAAAAAAAUACACAUUCCUGUUUUCACAUUAUAGCAACUGAUUAAGCUGAAGCUGUAAGUCAUUUUUUAUAGAUGAGUGAUCCGCAUCUCCAUCAAUUAGAACACUGGAAAAGAUGUUUUAUAAAAGAGGUAUUUAAUUUUGUUUGUAGGAUUAACUCAUGCAAAUAAUAAAAAAGAUAUCCUGUUGGUUCAAUAGUACACUGUCUCCUUUAAGGAAGGAAGCGUGAUGAAUGAAUGAUGUGUAGACUUGAGGGAUGACUAUUAAAGGGGACGUAGGAUGAAGAGAAAGAACCUACAGAUGACAAUGAAUGUAAACUUAUUUUUCUUCAUGUGUAAGCAGUGUGCUCGCUGGUGAUAUCCAGAUCCUAACAAGAUUACUUGGUUAGCUGGUUAGGACCAGUAACUGGAUUGCGACCACUAUGAUAAUAUUUUGAACCAAAUGUUAAUGCUUGAUGCAGAAUUGUAAAGCAGCAUCUGGUUCCUAUAUAGCCUUAAGGAUUAAUUUUAGUGAUCCUCAAGGAAUUAAAUAGGGAAUUUCAGAAAUGUAGACUGCAAAGGCAGUAUACAGGAAAAGGUGGAGUGGGUUUUGUUUAUGAGGGUGUCUGAAAACUAAAAUUGAGCGGGAUAUCAUGGUAUAGUUGGACAGUAUUGGUCCUUCACACUUUGGCCAUAUUGUAUAAUGGAGCUUUUACCAAAGAUGUAUGAGAAGUGUAAGACUAUAAAAAAAUGAACUAUUCAAAGUAAAACUCUUAACAAACAUUUUACUUAAAGCAGAUGCAAAAGGGUAUUCUCAUGUAGGCUCCUGUUGGUGCAGAGGGAUUUUUUUGAUUUCAGGAUACAACUAAAGUACGAAGUUCUCAGUUUCACUUUAGUAGAAAGAGCUCUAGAAAUGAGGCUGAUAAACACAUCUAAGAACACUGGUUGCUUUCUAAAAUUUCCAAAGCUCCACCAUAAAUGUAAUUUUUAGUGUUUCAAAUGAUUGCAUUUUAAAGUAUAUAAAUAUGGGUUAUCCAAUAUCAAUGCUAUAGUAACAUCCUGAAACAAAACAAGCACAAAGGUAUAAAUGCCUAAACUGGAGGAAACUUGAAACCCUCAUGUUAAAUCUUAAAUGUAGUAUUUCUAACUUGUGAAGACAGAUUGGUAGGCAGCCAUUUUUUUGUGUCUUAAAAUAACUGGGGGCAUAGUUAAAAUUUUAUACAUCAAGUGAUUGCUAUUAUUGAAUGUUGCAGGUGAGAUGUGGUUAUUUUUAGUUUAUUUGAAAUGUUUGACUGGAAAGGGGGGAGGGGGAAGCAAAUAUUUGAAAUUUGGAAAACCCUAAACCUUUUGGUAAGAAAUUGUAAUUUUCACUUAAAAUUUUCUUUAAGGAUAUAAGAGGUUUAUAAUUGAUGUAGUUAAAUUGAACAAUAACCAUUGGUGACUGGAGCAGGUAAUUAUAGCCUGCAGAAAAAAUUAUCUAAGAAUUUUAAAAAUAAGAUCCUGAAGUUGUUUAAUUGCAUCCAUUUCUGUAUUUAUGUGAAUUUAUAAACUGCAGUAAGUUUUGAAUGAGGUUAAUCUUGUUUAAUAUAAGUAAAUGAGUCUGUAGACUGUGAUCUCCCCAAACUAAAAAGUACAGUACUUGGAAUUGUGUUCUUUAUGGUUGUAGUGUUGGUAAAGCACUAAUAUGCAGAAAAUAAAGGAAUUACACAGUGCA